UUUGUCUUUAUUGGUUUCCUUAUAGAAUUACAACGUCUCGUUUCUAUACACGUAUCGCACGCGAUACUCGAAAAAUUAGUAAAAUAAAUAAAUAAAUAUGUACUUCACAUACAUAAUUUAUAUAAUCUCAUAUAUAUGAAUGAAUAUGUACAUACACAACCAUACAUACAAAUCUACGUAUACAUUCAGCUAUAAUUCAAACGUACAUCCAUAGCCUAAAUACACACGUAAUAUUAGCUACCCUAAUUAAUCAAACCUAACCUCUAUCUUAUCUCUAUUUUAUUACCUUAACCUUAUCCUAAUCGAUAUUUUAAUCUUACUCAACUUGCAAUUAAUAUAUCACUGAUCAACCAUGCUACUUGGAUAAUGAAUAUUUUGAUCAUCCGUUGCUUUACAAGUUUCUAGUAAUAAUUUUCAAUAUCCAAAGAUUCUAUUUUCAACGUAAUAUGUGGAAUUACUCGCAUAACUGAUCAAGUUGCCUCUAAAACGGAAUAACUUUCUUAACACCGUAACAAACGACUCGACCUUUUUUUUGAGGAAAUAGGAUGACUAGUUUACUGGAUGACACGUAUGAAAUUUUUGAAAAAAUUGCAAACGAUGAAGAUCGCUUUCUGCAGCUUCUUUAUCCGGGUCUGUAAUGAAAAUUUGAACAAGUUAUUUUGGAGAUUCAUGUCACUUAUACAGUGUGUUCAUUCUAGGAGUAUCCACCGUUUUUAUAGCAUUUCCAACGAUCUAACGAGAAAAUCUUGAGACGGAAGUUAAUCAGCCUCGAUUUGGCAAACUUGGUAAUAAGAAAAUUUUUCAAAAAUCUGCUUCUUCAAUAAAAGGACAAGGUCAGCUUAGUUUUUACAAAUAGCACUAUGUAUUUUUUACUUGAUAGGAUUGUAGCUGACUUCAAAACGAAUUCAACGAUCUAUAACAGUACGAUAUUCGCCCGAUUUUGAUCUCGAAACUUCGACUCAAUAACCAGAAAUGAAUGAAGCGUUCAGCAUAUAAUUGACGAUUCCCAUGAAUGGCAAUUUUUUCGAAAAUUGUUCUACACGACAUUUUGUAAACUAAUCCCUUUCACUUCUAAGAAAAAUACUCCUAAAAAAAAUACAAUAAUUUCUGGUAUUUAUAUCUAAAACGUAGAUUACUUUACAAAAACAUUGCCAAUAUUUCUGUUUUGUUUUUAAAGACGUACUUGAGAAUGUUGAAUCGUUGUAUCGCACUCUACAUAAGAGGAAAGAAUAAUAGAAAAUUUAUUUAGUUGGGAGUUUCUAUCGUACUUAGUUGGUUAAUUGUUGAUUUGGAAAGGGUUCAUGUUACUUAACCCAAUGCUUCCUCGUUGGCAAAUGGCAGAAGAAUUCGAUUACUUCAUUCUCCAUUAAACUGGUUACCUAAUAUUAUUGGUCCACAAAUUGAUAGGGAUAAAGAAUGUUCACAAGGAAGCCUUUGCUUUUGUGUUAUAUAACUCCGUAAGUGUUGCUUCGGUUUCCUUGAACGACGAAAAUAGUCUGUUUGAAACCGAUACGGAUAAUCUUCACGACGAUACUGAACGCUCUAUACGGAUGUUGUGAAAGAAUCAUGGAUUAUUACCAGAUUUAUAAUGAAAACCAGAAGCUUCAUUGUUGAUAUUCAUGCAAUGUACCUGUGCAAGGAUCCUGCUCAAUAGAAAGAAGAAUUGUCGGUUCUUGUAUGUGCUAGCGUCUGCAACCUUCAGCACUUGGCCGCAUGGUGCAGCACUAGUUCGUGAACAACCAGAACCAUAAGCGGGUAUUCAACCAAACCUGCCAACAGUUCGUAGUGAAAGCCAGAUAAGCUCUUGGAGCGCUCUGAAAACCAUGCAUAAAGAAAGAAAUAUUUAACUGGGAAACAAAAAUGAAAAUCUUCGAUGCAACAGUAGCCACCACAUUUACACAUAUAUUUAGUAUAUAGGGAUCUAUCGUUGGAUACACAACUAAUAUAGGAACAAUCCAUGCUCCUGAAAAGAUUACUGGGUUACUACAAACGGUAUUCCAUACUUCACUUGCUGAGGUUCGAAACAGGGAGAACAAAUGUGUGAAUCAUAUAGAAGGCGUUGCGGUAGAGAACUAAAUUACUGAAAAUGGAGGGUAUAAGGUUUCGAGGAGAAGUUGCGACAGAUUAGACCAACUGGACGAUGUAGAAAAACGAGAAAACUGGUAAGAAACUGGUAUAUACAAAUUAAAAAUAUACUCGGUAAAACCGGCCAGGAAGAGUUAUGCAACAACUCAUCG